rnacentral:rRNA from 1 species
GACGAACGCUGGCGGCGCGCUUAACACAUGCAAGUCGAACGGAAAGGCCCUGCUUUUGUGGGGUGCUCGAGUGGCGAACGGGUGAGUAACACGUGAGUAACCUGCCCUUGACUUUGGGAUAACUUCAGGAAACUGGGGCUAAUACCGGAUAGGAGCUCCUGCUGCAUGGUGGGGGUUGGAAAGUUUCGGCGGUUGGGGAUGGACUCGCGGCUUAUCAGCUUGUUGGUGGGGUAGUGGCUUACCAAGGCUUUGACGGGUAGCCGGCCUGAGAGGGUGACCGGCCACAUUGGGACUGAGAUACGGCCCAGACUCCUACGGGAGGCAGCAGUGGGGAAUAUUGCACAAUGGGCGGAAGCCUGAUGCAGCAACGCCGCGUGCGGGAUGACGGCCUUCGGGUUGUAAACCGCUUUCGCCUGUGACGAAGCGUGAGUGACGGUAAUGGGUAAAGAAGCACCGGCUAACUACGUGCCAGCAGCCGCGGUGAUACGUAGGGUGCGAGCGUUGUCCGGAUUUAUUGGGCGUAAAGGGCUCGUAGGUGGUUGAUCGCGUCGGAAGUGUAAUCUUGGGGCUUAACCCUGAGCGUGCUUUCGAUACGGGUUGACUUGAGGAAGGUAGGGGAGAAUGGAAUUCCUGGUGGAGCGGUGGAAUGCGCAGAUAUCAGGAGGAACACCAGUGGCGAAGGCGGUUCUCUGGGCCUUUCCUGACGCUGAGGAGCGAAAGCGUGGGGAGCGAACAGGCUUAGAUACCCUGAGUAGUCCACGCUGUAAACGGUGGGUACUAGGUGUGGGGUCCAUUCCACGGGUUCCGUGCCGUAGCUAACGCUUUAAGUACCCCGCCUGGGGAGUACGGCCGCAAGGCUAAAACUCAAAGGAAUUGACGGGGCCCCGCACAAGCGGCGGAGCAUGCGGAUUAAUUCGAUGCAACGCGUAGAACCUUACCUGGGUUUGACAUGGAUCGGGAGUGCUCAGAGAUGGGUGUGCCUCUUUUGGGGUCGGUUCACAGGUGGUGCAUGGCUGUCGUCAGCUCGUGUCGUGAGAUGUUGGGUUAAGUCCCGCAACGAGCGCAACCCUUGUUCACUGUUGCCAGCACGUUAUGGUGGGGACUCAAUGGAGACCGCCGGGGUCAACUCGGAGGAAGGUGGGGAUGACGUCAAGUCAUCAUGCCCCUUAUGUCCAGGGCUUCACGCAUGCUACAAUGGCUGGUACAGAGAGUGGCGAGCCUGUGAGGGUGAGCGAAUCUCGGAAAGCCGGUCUCAGUUCGGAUUGGGGUCUGCAACUCGACCUCAUGAAGUCGGAGUCGCUAGUAAUCGCAGAUCAGCAACGCUGCGGUGAAUACGUUCCCGGGGCU